AGGAGUGGAGCCUGCGGCUUAAUUUGACUCAACACGGGAAACCUCACCAGGCCCGGACACCGGAAGGAUUGACAGAUUGAGAGCUCUUUCUUGAUUCGGUGGGUGGUGGUGCAUGGCCGUUCUUAGUUGGUGGAGCGAUUUGUCUGGUUAAUUCCGAUAACGAACGAGACUCUAGCCUGCUAACUAGGCGUAUUUCGACAUCCCAAAGGCCCGCCGGUUUGCGGGGUUCCCCUAACAGGGUAUCUCUACUUUCCGCGCGCGGUUUUUACUGUCGGCGUACAAACAAUUCUUCUUAGAGGGACAGGCGGCUUCUAGCCGCACGAGAUUGAGCAAUAACAGGUCUGUGAUGCCCUUAGAUGUUCUGGGCCG
rnacentral:rRNA from 1 species